ACUAUUCCUAGCCCAAACCCUACCUUCAGUAAAAUAACUAAAACAAAAUAAAACAAAACAUUUACCCUAAUUUAAAGUAUAGGAGAUAGAAAUUCUAAACAUGGCGCUAUAGAGAAAGUACCGCAAGGGAACGAUGAAAGAUAUAAUUAAAGUACAAAAAAGCAAAGAUUACCCCUUGUACCUUUUGCAUAAUGAGUUAACUAGCAAAAAACUUAGCAAAACGAAUUUUAGCUAAGUAACCCGAAACCAGACGAGCUACUUAUGGGCAGUUAAUUAAGAACCAACUCAUCUAUGUGGCAAAAUAGUGAGAGGACCUAUGAGUAGAGGUGACACGCCUAACGAGCCUGGUGAUAGCUGGUUGUCCAGAAAAUGAAUUUCAGUUCAGCUUUAAAGAUGCCAAAAAUCUAUACAAAUCCUACUGUAUCUUUAAAAGUUAGUCUAAAAAGGUACAGCCUUUUAGAAACGGAUACAACCUUGACUAGAGAGUAAGAUCUAAUAACACCAUAGUAGGCCUAAAAGCAGCCAUCAAUUAAGAAAGCGUUAAAGCUCAACAAUUCAGACAAUAUUAAUCCCAAUAACAAACAACUAACUCCUAGCCCCAAUACUGGACCACUCUAUUAUCAAAUAGAAGCAAUAAUGUUGACAUGAGUAACAAGAAAUACUUUCUCCUUGCAUGAGCCUAAGUCAGUAUCUGAUAAUACCCUGACCAUUAACAGUAAAUAAAAACAAUCCAACAAUAAACAAUUUAUUAACUAUACUGUUAACCCAACACAGGAAUGCACUCAAGGAAAGAUUAAAAGAAGUAAAAGGAACUCGGCAAACACAAACCCCGCCUGUUUACCAAAAACAUCACCUCCAGCAUCCCUAGUAUUGGAGGCACUGCCUGCCCAGUGACAAACGUUAAACGGCCGCGGUAUCCUGACCGUGCAAAGGUAGCAUAAUCAUUUGUUCUCUAAAUAAGGACUUGUAUGAAUGGCCACACGAGGGUUUUACUGUCUCUUACUUCCAAUCAGUGAAAUUGACCUUCCCGUGAAGAGGCGGGAAUAAGCAAAUAAGACGAGAAGACCCUAUGGAGCUUUAACUAAUUAGUCCAAAGAAAACAAACUUAACCAUCAAGGGAUAACAACACCCUCCAUGGACUAACAGCUUUGGUUGGGGUGACCUCGGAG
rnacentral:rRNA from 1 species